rnacentral:snoRNA from 1 species
UUAGCUGUGAUGAGCCGUAAACAUAAGAAGGCCAACUGAUCAAUCGGUUCUUCAGUGAAAUUUUCCUUUACGCUUGGCUUCUGAGCUGA